GCUUACAUGAUCCUGGACGGCUGUGAUGAAGGAUGCUGCACCAACGACAUACCACCCUUUCCAACAAUUUGAUUCCGGAUAUUGCAGGUCAUGGUCCUAGGAGGGAAGGAUGCAUCAAGGAAGAUAACCGAUGACUCUGAUGGUGUUGUCACUAAGAAGGCUUCAGCUUCCUCAACCACAGUGCACACUUCAGGGAUGGAGGACUUCUGGGAAGGGAUGGCUUCCACCUCACGUGGAGAGGACUCUUCUAAAAGCCUAAUUUUGGACCCAUUAUACUUUUGUUUUGCCAAAGUAUACAUCAGUACUGUGAAGUAUGGUGGCACAAUUGCAAAACAGUUGCAGCAUAAGCAGAGGUGACAUGACGCAGCGAUGGUGAAUCAACCUAUGGUAAAGUGAUUGCAUUAUAUUCUGUAGUUUGUUCUGUGUCAGUGAAUCCCUCUGUCUACUCAGGGCUUUUUAACUUCAGUGGCACCCUAUGUUCCAGUAGAUUUUCAGUUAAGUCAAUGAAGGAGCCACAUGGAUUCUGAUUUUUUUUUGUCUGUCUACAUCAAAAAAUACAGUGUGUCUUUAGGUCCAAGUUAUCAUUUCAAUGCUAUAACAUUUUAAUAGUUCUCUAUUAGCAUAAAAACUGUUACUAGAAAAAAAAUUAUAAUUAAAGUUUUACAAAAACAACAGCAACCUUGCUAAAAACAUUUCUUAAAAUGUUUUGCUUUGAUAUUUUUGAUGUGUGGUCUGGAAGUCCAGGCCUUUUGAUUCUUAAAGUACAAGCAAAACAGAGUUUAUAAGGGUAUAUAUGCCUUCAGCGCUGAAAGCAUCUCAUAUUUAGAGAGAGCUGGAUUCUGGAUAAAC